GGCUGGUUUAUGGAGCUAGAGACAGUCUAACAGAAGCACCUUAAAAGCCAGGCAGGUAGGAGAGACCCUAAGGACACUUUAGCCUGCCUCCUGCCCAGCACAGUGGGAUUUCUGGAGCCCUUGGAGUUGGGUUCGGCCCAUAAUGGCGUUUUCCCUUUGUUUUGCUUUUUAUAAAGCAGGGUCUCCUUGUAUAGACUGGCUACAAGCUAACCAUGUGUCAAGGCUGGCCUGGCUUUGAAGUCCUUAUCCUCAUGCUUCAGCCCCUGAAGUGCCGAGUCUUUAGGCUCAGUCUUUAGACUCUGGCUCUACCAGUGAGAUUUUGCCAUUGCUCUUUCUUCCUAGGGCAGUGACCCACACAGAGGCCCUUGGCCUGCCUCUGGCUGCUUUGUCCCCUUUAAGCCUCUCCCCUCCGGCUUGAACUGGAUGAAGAGCCCACUGGGAGGCUUGAACAGGGUGUGACCUUACACACAACCCCCAAUGUCUUACCGGUCCCCAGCAACAGAGGGCUCCUGCAGACCUGUGUGCACAGGUGUCCACUACAAAAAAAAGCGCAAUCGAGGAUGCCCUGAAGCCCAUGCACAGAGCCCAAGGCAGAGCUUUUAUCUCCUACUGCAAUGCAAUGCCUGGGGAACCCUGGCUUCCUCCCAUCGCCAAUGUUAUCACCCUACACAGGUCCUCUCUACCCCAAAGCUGCCUCUGUCUGAAGCAUCAGGGUGCUGGCAGCACAGCCCUGGUCUCCUUCGGUUGGACUCAGGAAAUUGUGUCCGACCCAACCUACGAAUGAUGUGGUGAUUAACUUACUCAAUGGGAACUGUCCCUGGGGAACUGGAAUCCUUGCUGCAAAAAUAAAUUCUCCCUCUGGACCAGC